GCGAUACCUGGCUCCUGGGGUUUUCCCCAAAGCAGAGCCGCCACCGUGAUGACUUGCCGGGAAGCCUUCAAGGAGUCACUACUCCCAGACAGGUGGUUUGGGACAAUGUUCCCAGCAGCUGCUGAGACCACUUUUGGGGGGAGAGUCUCCCUGUCUCUCCCCUGCGCAGCACUGGCGGCAGUGUAUGCUUCUCCUUGGUGGAAUGGAAUCAUGCCUCUGGACAAGCUGACAAGCCCCGUGACCCAGUGUUGUUACCAAGAGAAUCCCCGCAGACAACCUCCUGCUUUCAAAUCACCACCUCAGAGUCAGUCCCAGACAAUGACAUUUGAAAGGAUUAAAUAAAAAGAAGAAAAGACAGCUCCUGGCCGAAAACAACAUAUUUACUGAGUGCACCUACUGCCUGUGGGGCACCAUACAGGCUGGAUGACGGGCUUCAGAGGCUCAGUAGAUCUAUGAAACCUUCCAGGAGCUCUACACCCAGACCAGCAGCCAAGAAAGGGGACUGAUGAGGCAGGUUCAGAGAGAGUGGGAUGCAGAAGUGACUCGAGGUCAGGAGCUUGUUCUCCUGUCUCCACAAUGGCUCCCUGUUGAGAAAAUACUCGGUGUCCCAGAGGCAGAGUGGAGAGAGGAACAGGUGUGCUGGCAAGGACAGAAUGCCACGCAGGAUCCAUGGGGAGACUUUCUGCAGGCCAGCUUCCAGUCUGUUCCCGGUGUCGUUCGUCUUCGAACAAGCUCACGCUCUAUUUGUGGCAGGUGGCAGAAGCACAAGAAGCCCAGCUACAGGGAAGCACGGUUAAAGCCUCUGCUCACGUCAUCUUUGCUCACAUCCUAUUGGCCAGAGCAAGUCACAUGGCCAACAUCAACUGGACCAGGAUGUAAAUUUCUCCCACGGAAGUUGAGAGAAGCCAGGACAAGGGCCAGGAAGGAAGGACUUGACCUCACAAGACCCCAGAAUGGUGGUCCAGUGUGGAGGAUGUCUGAGAUCACUGCCCACCAGCCAGCAGAGUGGAGGUUUGAGAAAAACAGCGACAUGGCAAGAGAAAGAGCGCGAGGUUAGAGACUUUGUCUUUCCAAGGCUGAUGGUAUGAUCCUCCUGCCAUGAAGCCACCUGUUGGUGUCUCUCUGCCUAAAGACCACAGUUCCGUAAUCCACGCCUCCCUCGCAGUGCCGCACUCCAGCCCUCAGGAACUCUGAAAGGAGGCUGCCCAACUGCCACUUCCCUGUGGAGGUCUUCUCCUGCCAGAGGUCUCGCCUACAGGAUCUCUCAUCACCUUUGUGUAUCACCUGCGGAGUCUCACCGCAAUCUGUCAACCUUAUUUGCUUAAAUCCGUCCACCCCACUAGAAGAUGAGCUUCCCAAAGAGCAGGACCUCUGGUCUUUCUUCAGGGCCCUGAAGCUGGUGGAUCCCGACUGAAACUCUCGGACUGAAUGACAGCUCAGAGUCCAUCAGAUAUUGAGCAGACUCCCUUUCCCCCCAGCCCCGCCCCCAGCUUUCUUCACCGGAAAUCAUUUCAAAAUCAUUCAUUUUGGAAAUAAGGCUUCUAGGGCUUCGACCGCACCCACCCACCUACGUUCCAACGGUUAGAACUGCCGCCCCGGCCCACUCACCCAAGCCCUCUAG
ensembl:lncRNA